rnacentral:tRNA from 1 species
GGUUGUGGCUCAGUGGUAGAGCGCUUGCCUAGCAUGUGUGAGGCACUGGGUUUGAUUCUCAGAACCA